UACGUAGGGUGCAAGCGUUAAUCGGAAUUACUGGGCGUAAAGCGUGCGCAGGCGGUUAUGCAAGACAGAGGUGAAAUCCCCGGGCUUAACCUGGGAAUGGCAUGUGAUGCUGCACGGCUAGAGUGUGUCAGAGGGGGUAGAAUUCCACGUGUAGCAGUGAAAUGCGUAGAGAUGUGGAGGAAUACCGAUGGCGAAGGCAGCCCCCUGGGAUAACACUGA
rnacentral:rRNA from 1 species